rnacentral:lncRNA from 1 species
UGGACGGCAAGUUGUUAAUUUCAGUCAAUUUUGGCUCUUAGCACAGUAGUGGCUCCCCAUCCAACACCUAAAGAACCAUGGCCGGCAGCUGUGCACGUAUUCUUGAAAUAGCCUGUACAUAGCUUAUAGGAGCCAGGAUGGGGAAGUUAAAACAAAAAAACAACCCUGACCUCCAAAUAUCAGAUGUGUGCUUAAUUUGCUCACUGCUUCUUCUUUCACAGAGAUGCAGAUGGCCAAAACAACAACAACAAACCAGAAAAUUGGAGAAAUGGGUGAGUACAAUCAAACAUCAGCAGUAGAGGAACGAAGGACAACAGCAAGCGGUAUCAUCUGAGAUGGAAAGAGGAUGGAGUCCUAUUGCCAG